GGGUGGUUAGCUCAGUUGGGAGAGCAUCGCCCUUACAAGGCGAGGGUCACAGGUUCGAGCCCUGUACCACCCACCA
rnacentral:tRNA from 2 species